rnacentral:misc_RNA from 1 species
CAGAGUGUAAAAACUCCCAAAACCCUUUGUGAACGUUACCACUUGUUGCCUCGGCGGACCUGUGGGGGAAAGGCUACCCUGUAGCCCACCCUGCAGCCGCCGGCGGACUACCAAAAUUCUGAUUUUACAUGGACAUCUGAGCGUACUUUUAAAUAAGUCA